GAUGAACGCUGGCGGCGUGCCUAAUACAUGCAAGUCGAGCGAACAGAUGAGGAGCUUGCUCCUCUGACGUUAGCGGCGGACGUGUGAGUAACACGUGGAUAACCUACCUAUAAGACUGGGAUAACUUCGGGAAACCGGAGCUAAUACCGGAUAAUAUAUUGAACCGCAUGGUUCAAUAGUGAAAGACGGUUUUGCUGUCACUUAUAGAUGGAUCCGCGCCGCAUUAGCUAGUUGGUAAGGUAACGGCCUACCAAGGCAACGAUGCGUAGCCGACCUGAGAGGGUGAACGGCCACACUGGAACUGAGACACGGACCAGACUACUACGGGAGGCAGCAGUAGGGAAUAUUCCGCAAUGGGCGAAAGCCUGACGGAGCAACGCCGCGUGAGUGAUGAAGGUCUUAGGAUCGUAAAACUCUGUUAUUAGGGAAGAAAAAAUGUGUAAGUAACUAUGCACGGCGUGACGGUAACUAAACAGAAAGCAACGGCUAACUACGUG
rnacentral:rRNA from 1 species